rnacentral:lncRNA from 1 species
AAAGGCAUUAUUAUUGUACAAAUCCCAGGCAUAGGGAGGAAAUCACAGUAUGAGUGAAAAAUGGGUUGGUAAGAAAAGGGGCACUGCAGAACUUGGGCCAAGGAACUCAGAUGCUGUGUGUUCAGAGAGAUCAAAGGAAUCUGAAGGAAAUUACUAAUCCCAAUCAGGUGGAAAUGAGUGAAUCUGUGCUCCAUAAAUAUAUAGAAAUAUACCUGCUGUUCAUAGAAAAUCUCUUGGCAAAAAGAUCAAAGGACUUCAGAGAUAUUUUCCAUGACAUGCUCAUGAGAUUGAAUGGCGUGGGGACAGGUCUUCUCUUAUCCCUGUUGUCCAGUGAGGAAGUUGAAGAUACAGAGACAGAACAUGAGUCACCACACAGACAUCUGAAAAAUGGACGUGUCCAGACUUGGAGGCAGUCUCUGGAGCUUGAGGAGUUAGAGUUCAUGGGUUCCUCAGUCAGGACUGGAAGUAUAAUGGAGAGUGUCCUCUAUGUCCUUCACAACUCUUUCUGGGAAAGAAUAUAACCAUCUACAGCAAGAUGAGCUCAAGCCAAGAGUUGCCACAUGACAAGAACCUGGAGGGAAUUUUUGGACAGGACGGAGAAAAGGUAGACUAGAAAUGCUUCUUCUGCUGUACCUGCAAACUACAUCAUGUCUUUGUUUUAGGCAGCCACCUCCUGAGAGAUUAUCAGAGUAGUUAUGUGACUACUGCUGCCUGUUCAAAAUUUUCUGCCAAUGAAACUUGUGGGUUUUGUGUUGUGGGGUACUGGCAAAUGUUUAACAGUUGGGAGCUCAGGGAGUUGGGAAUUGCAUAUGUGACGCACUUUUAAUUUUUAUCUGUAUUAUUAACAUUUUCUUUUUUCUUUUCUUUGGUUUUGUCAAAUCAAUA